rnacentral:rRNA from 1 species
UACGAAGGGGGCUAGCGUUGCUCGGAAUGACUGGGCGUAAAGGGCGCGUAGGCGGUUUGGACAGUCAGGCGUGAAAUUCCUGGGCUUAACCUGGGGGCUGCGCUUGAUACAUCCAGACUGAGUGGGGAAGAGGGUCGUGGAAUUCCCAGUGUAGAGGUGAAAUUCGUAGAUAUUGGGAAGAACACCUAUGGCGAAGGCGAGCUCUCUGGGACGGUACUGGACGCUAGACGCGAAAGCGUGG